UUCCCGUCCGCCCGGCCCGGCUCCCGCCGCUCCCGGCGGCAUGGCCGUGUUCCACGACGAGGUGGAGAUCGAGGACUUCGAGUACGACGAGGAGACCGGGACCUACAGCUACCCGUGUCCCUGCGGGGACCGGUUCCUCAUCACGCGGGAGGACCUGGAGAACGGGGAGGACGUGGCCACCUGCCCCAGCUGCUCCCUGAUCCUGCGCGUCAUUUACGACCAGGAGCAGUUCAUGCGGGAUGAAGUCGUGGCAGAACCUUUGCCAAACAAGGAAUUGGUCAAGUGCUGAUGAAUGCAUCGUGGACUGUGCUGCUUUGGGAUGAAAAAGUAUGGGGAUGGUGACUGCAGAAAGAGUUGUGGUUCUCCUUUGGGAAGUGCAUGUUGCUGUGGGAUACAAGUGCAAUAAUUGUCCGUCUUCUUAAUAUGAACGAGAGCUUUUUGGGACAUCAAACACAUGAAAGCGUUUUGUUCCAAAGGGUCAUACUUUAAAAAAAAAAUAUAUAAGCUGCUCCAUAUAUUCCAGAAGAUUUGAGGAUUAUGAUUAUGAUUUACAGCAAGUCAAUACACAGAAGAAGAGCACAGAGUUGGGAAAUUAUAACAUUUAGUCUAGCAGUGGCUUCUUAGCCUGUGGAGAAAAAUAGGCUUUAUGUGGGUAUAUGCAAGAGUGAAAUGGCACAGAGAGCUGUAAUGCUGGGAGGCAAGAUUUAGGAGUCUAUAGGACACAAUGCCAUACAGAGUUAACACAAUGCAGCUUCUCUCAGCAUGUGGGCUCGUGUACUUCUAGCCCAUACUGAAUAUGGGGAGAAAACCAGAGACCCAGAGCCAACAUUCACCCAGUGUUGGUAAAUUUUUUACCCAUGUAUACACAGGGAAGGUGCAGUUGUCUGUGUAUCUGCAGUGGGGGCAACACUUGAAUUGGGGCAGAUUUGUUUCUUAAAUUGCUUCUAAUAUUGCUUUGGAAGAACUUUGGUAGUUGUUAGCAAAUGACUCUGACAUAACAGUGAUACACUUUUGAGGGUGUUGUGUGAAAUGGAGUCAACCUUUUUUUUACCCCUGCACAGCUGCUAACGUACAGGACUGGAACUCAAAGUGAGUUGUAUUUUACCCCUAUAUUCUCAACAACUUUGUGAUUUGACUGUUGCAGUAGAUAUAAAAUGGGCUCCAGUUCUUUGUGCCAUUUGUAGUAAAUUUCUCAACCCUUCUUUAUUAGAUUUUGUCACUUCCUGGAUAGGAGAUGGAUACAUUUCACUUAAUUAAUAAAGGCAUUUUUUAGGGUAGAAAAGAGUUAUGAGAACAUACUGCACAUUGAUUCCAAGACUGCUUCUUGAAUUACAAGCCACUGCACUUGAAUAUUUACUUAAAAUUGUCGUCAUUCCUGUGUUUUAAUAGGAUUUGGUAUCUGUGAAGUUAAAUUUGGGGGAAAGUACUUGUAUGAAGAGUGUAUGUGGCUGUUUUGCUCCAGGCACUAAAGAUAAGCAAGUUUUAUUGGAUUCUUGCAUUUGGUUAUUUUUGUUCUUAAAGCAUUCUGUGAAUGUUGAAGAUGAACAUUCUAGUUACUUUAAGAAAAGGACAGGAAAAAUCCCCCACAUCUAGUUGGAAGUUUGAAUGCCGUAAGCACAACCGAGAGUGUUUCCAUGCCUAAACCAGGAGGUGGCACUCGUGUUCCUUUGACAUACGUGCUUAAAAGAAAUAAAUGUUGUGGUACUUUGGUUAGCUGUGCCUUAUCGAAUAUUUAUUUUGACUAUUUAAAUAAAGAUGUUUAAGAUUCCAUCAGUGGUUAUAAUGGGCCAUUACUUAUUCUGUUUCUGCACCAGCCAUAAUGAUUUCCAGAGAUCCUGAGUUGCUGCUUCUGGGGUGAUGAGAGUGGAGGUUUUUCAGGUUGGUUAAUAAAAAUUGUUUCAACCUAUCAGUAGAUGCUGUAAAACAAACUUAGAGGAACCCUACCUAAGCCCCUGUUCAAAUUUCUACUGCAUAAAUGCCUUCAUGAUUUUCCCACAAGUAUUCUACAUAAAAGGAAUUGUAGCAAUUUCCAAAUGCAAGACCAGGGAAUGUAUGCUCUGAUCUAAUGCAUCAAAGUAAGUUGCCAUGUGUAUAAUCUCUAAAAGUAAAUAGAUUUUUGAAGAAAUCAUUGACCAGAUUUUGUUAUAUAAUGAAGAUCAGGCCCUUUCUGACUUAGGAAACUUGCGUAGAGAAUUAUUUGUACUCUAUAUGGUUAAUUCCAAGAUGGAUGUAAAAAGCAUUAAUCAACUGAAAUUUACGUGGGAGGUGCCAAGUAAACAUGACAUGUAACAAAAUUUUAAUUGAUUCUUAGUAGUGUUUCCCACUCAUCUGAAAUAGAGGUAAUGGCUUUUUUUAAAAGUAAUUUUAGCAGAAUUUAUUAGUCAUUACAUCAGUUGGGAUUGUCAGGGCUUGAAGUUUCCUACCUGGUCUGAAUAGGGUCCAAGUUGUGGAAUGCAAUUUACAUGCACAUUAAAAUUCCUUGAUCACAUAGGGUAUGUAUCAAAGCUUUAACAAAGUGUGUUUGCACACCUAUGUGUUUUUUAUUGUGUACGUAUGCAAAGCAUGUUUGCUUUUCUGGAGUUUUUUUUACAGCAUAACAACAGAAGGAUGUUGUGGCUGACUUAGAAAGGAUGUGGCCACAUUUGCCCAUUUAAAUUACUUUCAGUUCUUGUCUCAUUGCAGGGUCUUAAAGGUCUCAAGACAGUAGAUGAUGUCCUCACCAAAAAAGGAUGGGUGUCAUGUUUCUCUCUUUUUGUUGCCCCUUGAGAAUCUGAGAGAGACAUUUAAAAACUGUUGAGCUGUUCUGUUGUUUUCCCUUUUGCUCUGCAGAGUUCUGCAGCAAGAGUUCAUCCUUCAUGAAAGUUCAGCGAUGCUAAAGCCAAAGGGUUGCCCACUUUUGUCUUUUGUUAACUUGUAAGAAGCUUUUGAUUCCAGUGAUUGCAGUAAUCUUUUAAAUAUAUUCUUUCAUACUGUGUCAUUCCAGAACACCAAUCAGGGCAGUCUGAGUAACCCAUCAGAAAUGUCCCUUGUCAGGAAUUCAGUCACAAGGUUUCCUCAGCGCCACAGGCUCUGGCCCUUCACGCAUUACUUGUGUAUUACAUGCUCUUACAAACCAGUAGCUCACUUUUUUUUUCUCAAAAGGCAAUUGUGUAGGACACAAAGAAGUCUUGUUUGCUGCUUGUAUGUGACAAGCAGAUUGAUUGAUUAUGUGUUUGAUUAGGUCUGUAGGUCUGCACAGAGGAUUCCAGUGUGGUGGAAACAGCAUCAUGUGAAUGUUAAUGGAAUAAUUUAUACUUGGUAGAGGCUAGAGAGGGUGAAAUCAUAUAUGGGCAGUUCCAGAUACUCAAGCUGUGAAAUUUCUCCUAUUGUUGAACACCUCUGAACUCCCGUGUAACACUGAGAACAAGGAAUACACUCUGUUGCCACAAUUUUAUGGGAAGAAAUGGAAGAUAAUUUGCUCUUCAUUAAACUAAAGAGGCUUAGCCUCUCUGAUGUGUCAGAUUAUUGUUUGCAUUUCAAAGGGACUCGCUGAGAAGGUCAGGUACAUUUGGCUCAUUGUGCCUGUAUAUCAGUGGUGUACAUGAUUAGUUAUGAAUAGUUGCUCUAGAAGUCUGUGACAGAGCCUCCAAGAGCUUAGGUCAUUAGGCUACUAAUUUUGCUGUUGCACUUGUUUCAUUGUCCAUAUAUCAGGGAAGUCCUAGUAUCCCAGAGGACCCUUUGUAAGUACUUUGACAUAUCUUCUCUCCAUCGCAGUUUUCAAUUAUGAUUCUCAGCACCUGUCCAAAAAAAAACUAAGCAGGUGUUCCUUGCAGAGCAACAGAAUUAAAGAUCAUUAAAUAGAUUACCAAGUCUAUCUGCCAAGAAGCAGAUACUGAUUAAUUUCAAAUAAACUGGCAAAAGUUUGAUAAGUCUAUCUCUUCUAUUCCAAUUUAACACUCAGAUCAUGCUAACUAUAGGGAUAGGUAUUUGUUACACUGAAAACUUCUUGAAAUAAUAACUUCUUGAAAUAAUUUUUUUAAAAAUAGGGUUUAUCAAGGUAUUUAGUGCAGUAGUUAAAGUUUGCCAUGAAUUUUCUCCUAGCAGUUACAUGUGGAUUGCUGUGAUUCUACUUCAUGGUAACUUAAAAUGCUAAUUUCUUAAUGUCUCUCCAUAGUACCUAUGGCAUGGAGGAGACAGGGAGGAUACUGUGAAGAUGCUGGGCUCAUCAGCCCUGAAACUGGUCAAGCCUGUUGAGUGACAGAGGCAACAACUGGCAGAAGCUGUGCCAAGAGGGAAAGCAGGUGUCACCUGUGGCCGGGGAGGAAGUGGGUCAAAAGGGACCAACCAAAAGGGUUGACCAACCUUCCCACCUUAAGUGACCUGUCAUCAGUCCUUCCCACCCCUUGCUGUCACCAUUUUGAGCUAUUUGCACACCAGGUCACCUCUCCAAAAUUCCUGGCAGCUCACCAGUCCAGCACAGGUUUCCUGUCAUGUGGAAAGUCACUGCCGUGCCAGUGACCCUGUCAGUGGGUGCAGCCGGCCAAGAGAAGCUCGCUCUGAAGGCACGGUGGCAUGUGAAGGUCGGAGCAGAGCUGCCCCAUCCAGGGGUAGUAAUUUUUUAUUUUUAUGUCAAAACAGAGAUCCUUAUCUUCUUGUCAGAAGGCUCAAUCUGUUGCUUUAGGGAAAGAUCCAAUUAUCAAGACUUGAGGGUAAAAUCAAGAGGCGUGGGCAAUAAAUCACUUCUUCCGUGACCUCUUCAGGCCCUUUCUUGCUCCAUGGCAAAUUAUUUUAUUUUUGUCUCGGUUGUCCUUCUGGACAAGUCAGAGGACAACUUUUUGACACGUUCAGUACUCCGGGUAACUUCAAGAUUCAAGAUCCAUCCACCAGAACACUAAAUAGCUACACCACUUCUUAGCAUAAUCUUUGUGUAUAUAGUCCUAGGGUGUUUACACAAAAUACAAAUUUCUGGUAUACUUUUAGUAAAAAUUACUAUUUCACGCUGCCUAGAAAAAAAUACUAUUUUCAAGGGAGGGCUGUUUUGUUUUUUCUUUUCCAAAUAUCUUGAAAAAGAUAUUAACAGUUUUUAUUUCUGCAUGUCUCUGAUUGUAGGCCUGUUGUUGAUUCUUUCCAUGAAAAUUGUGUACCUAUGGAUUGCAAUACCAUCUUAAGAUACUUGGUGUUAGACAAUAGCAAGACUGCAGCAUAAUUUUAUCAUUUUUCUCACUAUAACAGAUUAAAACUGAUCUUGUACCCUGUGAUGGGUUUUAAGGUUAAUGUUCAUUUAAUUACAAAAAAAAAAAAAUAGAUAAAAUACGAUCCCCUACUUAUCCUAGUUUUUCACUUAUUAGGGUAGAACACAUUUGACUUUUAUAUUAUGCAGAGGCUUCUGUAGCCCCCAGUGCACUUGCACAGGUGUUCCGACGUUAAGGGAUUCUGGCGUACAUCCCUUUGCUAGAACCAAAUUUUGAAUUUAGAUAUGUAAACAGUCCAGAGGCAGAAAUCCAGACAAAACACCUGUCAGUCUCGCUGUCCCCUUCCUGCAGAACUACUCAAGUGGGUCAUUUCAGAGCCAGUAAGGAAAGCUCCUGUCCUGGAGGCUGAGCUUGGCUGUGGCAGCAAAAUAUGUCAGCACAUCAGAGCAGGACUGAGUGUCCCAGGGCAAACCAAGGGUCUUGGUCCUGUCCCAUUCCCAGCACUGCCCAGCAGCGACUGAGGAGUCCGUGACCAGGGCAAGCAUUUGGAGAUGCUUCCCUACAACCCUCCCACACAAUUUUAAAGUCAUGGACUUCUUGAGACUGAUGCAUUGUUGUUUAAUACCAUUGAACAAUAUAUAUAUUUAUAUGAAUUUUUCUAAUCAAUAUUUGAAUCCACAUCACAAAAUCCAUUGCAUCCCAUGGAAAGGAAUUGCCCAAGUGAAAUGUCUCUUAUGAAGAGACAUGUUUCUCUGUUUAUUUUGAGCCCAUUGCACUGGGGUUCAUUUAAAGACAUUUUUUGGAUAGGAAGAGACAGUUUUCUGCUCUCAGCUCUCUAGCCUACUGAUGACUGUUAAGAUUUUUUUUUUCUUAUUUUUCUGCACCAUUUUUGAAAGGGAAAUAAGCACAAUUUUAGACACAGGUGCAUUGUGCAUACAUUUGCAUAGCAGUAUUUGUUUUCUAUUGCUCUCUAUUUUCCAAAAAUUCCUAACAUUCCUAAUGUUUUUUGACACUUGAUGAGCACUGGGCUGACAUUCUCUUAGACCUUAUGUUUAAUUAAGGAAAUAACUUUUUAGAAUCUAAGCCUUAGAAUAACCUUGUCUUUCUCCUCCUGUCUCUUGCUCGUGGCCUAGGUGGUUUUUAGAAGAUGAGGUAAUCUAAGGUACCAUGGAUUCAGGUAGUUUUUUUGCUAGUCCCUCUCACAACCUCCUAACAGCAGCCGAUGAAGGUGUGCAAGCUCUAUGCACUUUGGUAGGACUGUCCAAGUCUGCUUUAUCUCCACACCUCCCAUCGUUUAGCUGGCUUUAUUUGUUUAAUUUUGUCAUGUGUUACUUCCCUUGCAUGUUCAUUUUAUUUAGCUCUAUUGUAGUUCUUACACGACUUUGUCUCUUCCUUCAAAACUGCAUCUGUGUGCCUCCUGUAUUUCUUUGUCUUUGCUCCAGUGGCUUUCCUGAGGGGUAUCUGAGUUUUCUGGGCGGUUAAGCCUUUUAUUUGAGUUGAUGUAGUUUUUCAAUGUGAGAUUUCUUUUUGUUUUGAAUACAUUGUAUUUACUUUCCUAAAAGAAGUGAGGAUGCUGCCCAAGAUCCACAUUUAAAAUAGUGUGCUUUUUGAAAGGGCAAAGAAUAUUUCAUUCAAAUCUACUAUUUCCUUGUAACUUCAUUUGCUAGUAUUGGCUCUAAGGGGGGAAGUCUUAGCCUGAAUAAAUGUUGAAUGAUAAAUG
rnacentral:lncRNA from 1 species